rnacentral:rRNA from 1 species
GUGCCAGCAGCCGCGGUAAUACAGAGGGUGCGAGCGUUGUCCGGAAUCACUGGGCGUAAAGGGCGUGUAGGCGGCUGGGUAAGCCGCGUGUGAAAUCCCGGGGCUCAACCCCGGAACGGCACGCGGGACUGUCCGGCUAGAGAAUGGUAGAGGCGAGUGGAAUUCCUGGUGUAGCGGUGGAAUGCGUAGAGAUCAGGAAGAACACCGGUGGCGAAGGCGGCUCGCUGGGCCAUUUCUGACGCUGAGGCGCGAAAGCGUGGGGAGCAAACAGGAUUAGAUACCCCGGUAGUCC